UCCCUGGUGGCUCAUACAGUAAAGAAUCUGCCUGCCGUGCAGAAGACCCAGGUUCAAUCCCUGGGUUGGGAA
rnacentral:tRNA from 1 species